AAUUUCUGGGCCAGACUCCUAUUUCUUCUGGCAAUGCUGAAACUCAACAUGUGUCAGCUGAAGCAAAUAAUUUGGAUGGUGUUAAGAACUUGAUUAAAUAAAGGAUCAGGUCUAUCUAAUUCAUUCAAAGAGCCACAUUUGCACUUUGAUAAGGAAAAUUGUAAGUCUGAUACCACCUUAUUUUGUUUUGUUAGAUUAUUCAUGAUUCCAACUUAUCAAGAUUUCUUGUUAUUAUUGUUGAAAGCUGUUAGUUAUAGGACAUUCUAAAGCAUACAUCAUCACUGUUCGAUGUUAUUUUGUAUUUCUCCUUCAAAUGAACUAUACUUGUAGAUAUUAAAUGCAAUAUUUCUUUGCAAAUCAUGGCAUAGAUAAUGAAGAGAACUUCCUGAGUGAAAUUUCUGCAUUGAUAAUUUUCAAUCUUGGUUGGACUAAUACCAAACUUCUGAGUUGGAUCUAUAUAAAUUCUUACCCUGUCAAGUGUCACCUCCAAGAAAUUAAUUAUUCAAGGAAGAAUGUAUUGAAGGUAAAAGAAGCUUGACAUUCAAAGAAACUGGUAUAGAUAAGGUAGAUUUUGUUGGACACAGGAGGAAAUCCAUUAAAAAAUUAAUCAGAUUGGUGAUGUCUUAUUUGCACACUUGCAAGAGAGAUGUCCAUGUCUUCACUAUUUUGGACAUAUUCACCGCAUUUAAUUUGACCUUAGCUAAAGGGCUAACUGAAUCAACCAUAGCCAAUCUUGACUAACCAUGUUCAAUAUUAAAUUUGUUUAUGAAUCAUUCAAUAUGCUUUUUCUCAUUUCAGGGCACAAUUUCUGUUGUCGGCUUUUUGGCGUUUUAAAAAUAGUUGUUGGAACAUUGGUAGAACACAGUUUCUUAUUCCUUGGUGUUGGAGAGGUUUUACUCCUAAUCUCAAUUGGUUUAUUUGGUCUAUUGAAUGUGUUUAACACUUUAACUUUGAUUUUUUUUCACUUGUGUAUUUUCUUGUGAACAUCUUAGUUUCCCAUUCUAGGAGUAUGAAUUCCUAUUUACUUAUGCUUCGUCCUUGUAUUUCAUAUUACAAAUCUUGUAAUGCAUAUAAUUAUAUGAGAAAUAGAUAUAGGAAGAUCAUGUCUAUUAGGAUUUUAUUUAUGAGGUGGGCUUCUGCUUUUUUAAAAAGAGGGUAGAAGAUAAUUUUUCCGAUUUGGAUCGAAAUCUACUGUUUGCCAUAAUUUCGCUAUGCUACUUAGUGCUAAGUGUACAUGUUACAUUUUAUGUGACUUUAAUUAUUGCACUAUGUAGGUACAUGUUUCAAGAGUAUUUUAACUAAUCUCAGUUAAAAUAUUUGUUCUGUUUAUACGCAUACUUCUUUAAAUCUUUUCCUUAUCUUGAUUAUCAAUACAGGCUGGUACCAUAGCUCUAGAGAUGUUAAAGCAGGUUUUGAACUUAGUCUUUUUAUUAUGUGCAUGAACAACGUUUUGGAUGUGAUGAUGAUAAUUUUAGAUAUUGGCAAAUUUUGGUUGUGGAUUUCUUAUGGUUGUUGUAGACAAAUGGUGCUCCAUUGGAAGAGACUCGCAAGAAGUUAUGAAUGGUCGAUUCUAAGUUUGUACAAAUUCAAGCGGACUUUCUACUAAGGAAGUAGUUGAAGCGAUGGCUAAUUUUAAUGAGAUAGUAUUAGAUCCAAUGCACGAGUUCCCUUGCAUUGAUUUUGGCUCAAUCCAACCCUACCUCUCAAUCAGAAUGUAGUGUAGAAGAGGCAUAUACGUGGAGUAAGGUAAGUUUUCUCUAUCUUUUUGCAGCAAUAGUUGCAUAAUUCAUAUUCACAAUUUACUUUGGUAGUUAAGAAUUUGGCUUUCAUUCACAUGGUCAAGCAAUAUUUGCUAGUGGGAGUCCAUUUGAUCCAAUUGAAUAUGAUGGAAAAGUUCUUGUGCCAGGAUAGGUUUAAAAUUUUUAUUUGUUACAAACUAACCUUUGGUGUUUCACUUUCUUCUGGUCAAAUAAUGCAUACAUCUUCUCGAGAUUUGGCCUUGGGCUGGUGAUCUUCGGAGCAACCCAUGUGCACAAUGAUGACAUGCUUACGUUCAGCCUGAAAGUUCACAAGUGGAAUCACCAUUACUAUAUUUCUAUUUUUGUAUAUCAAUAUUUCAAACUUGUUCCAUAUACCAUAAACCCAUCGGGAACAUGUUUAAUCGACUUUGAAAUUUACUUUUCCAUAUAUUCCACAAAACUAUGGAAAGUAGAAUAAUUGUGGUAUCUUUUGUUGGACAACAAAAGCUUUAACUCCUAAUGACGUAGGACAACUUGGACAAAGGAAUGGUCUACCCACCAUUCCCCAACAUUAGGAAGAUAUUUGCUCAUAUUGCUGCGAAUGUUGCAGCAAAAGCAUAUGAACUUAGAUUGGUGAGUCGGUACCCACAUCCCAAGGACUUCAUGAAGUACGCGGAGAGCUUCAUGUACAACUUUGUUUAUCACCCGUAUAGAUGAUUGGACAAGAGGGCUUUGCGCAUAUUAACAGUAAGUCAAGUGUU